rnacentral:rRNA from 1 species
GACGAACGCUGGCGGCGUGCUUAACACAUGCAAGUCGAACGGAAAGGCCCUGCUGUUGUUGGGUGCUCGAGUGGCGAACGGGUGAGUAACACGUGAGUAACCUGCCCUUGACUUUGGGAUAACUUCAGGAAACUGGGGUUAAUACCGGAUAGGAUCUCCUGCUGCAUGGUGGGGGUUGGAAAGUUUCGGCGGUUGGGGAUGGACGCGCGGCUUAUCAGCUUGUUGGUGGGGUGGUGGCUUACCAGGGCUUUGAGGGGUAGCCGGCCUGGGAGGGUGACCGGCACAAUGGGGACUGAGAUACGGCCCAGCCUCCUACGGGAGGCAGAAGUGGGAAUUUUUGAACAAUGGGCGGAGGCCUGAUGAAGCAACGCCGGGUGCGGGAUGACGGCCUUCGGUUUGUAACCGGCUUUCGCAUGUGACGAAGCGUGAGUGACGGUAAUGGGUAAAGAAGCACCGGCUAACUACGUG